rnacentral:rRNA from 1 species
UACGGAGGGUGCGAGCGUUGUCCGGAAUCACUGGGCGUAAAGGGCGCGUAGGCGGCCUGAUAAGUAGGGGGGUGAAAUCCUGCGGCUUAACCGCAGGGCUGCCUUCUAAAACUGUCGGGCUAGAGCACGGUAGAGGCAGAUGGAAUUCCCGGUGUAGCGGUGGAAUGCGUAGAGAUCGGGAAGAACAUCAGUGGCGAAGGCGGUCUGCUGGGCCGUUGCUGACGCUGAGGCGCGACAGCGUGGGGAGCAAACAGG